UUUAACAAUUAAAAAUAACUUUUUAAAAAGAAAAGGAGUUUCAUACGUCUGCAACAGAAAGUUUGAAAUGUUUGCAAUUUAAUUAAAGACAGGAGUAAUCACAAAAUAUGUGCAUAAAAUGGCAGUCUUUAAUAAGCAUUCAUCACCACUUAGAGCUGUAGGCCUCAAUAUGCAACUGCCCAAGUGUUUGGUAAUCAGGAAUGAAUAAAUGCUUGCUCCUGGGAUGCCAGAUGGAGAAGGCCAGACAGUCUUAACAUAAGAAAGAAAACUGAAAGUGAAAUUUAAGGCUGUAGCUAAGUCAUGGAUUGCAUUAAAUAAAUGAUAAAAUAGCAGGGUUUGAGAGAGAGGUUGUUAGUAACUGGAAACCAUUUUAACUGCUUUCUUUUUUUAAAAAUGUUCUUCAGUUUUCCACUUUUUCUGCUGAAGCUAUCAAGGAAGAUCACUGCAAUUUUGAAUGAGAUGUUCCACAAUUUUUCCAUGGCACUGAUUAAAACUCAAUGGCAAAUACUUUGUGCUGCCCCCACAUUUACCUGAUAAUGGAUCACAAUCACAACAACCUUUCAGAUUGCUAUAGUACAGCUUGGAUGCACUCAAAAUACUCAGUGAAGGGAAUGAGCUUGAGCUUCCAGAAACUCAUUGACAGAGGCUCAUGAGCAGCUGUGAGUGAAUCUGCAUACACCUUGCAUCUCCUCUUUAAACAGUGCUGGCCACACAAAACCUCACUGGCUCCAAACUCUUGUCAGCGUCUCAAUAAAUAGCUGUUGGUGAAAGGGGCCGGGCGGAGACCAAACUACACUGGUCGCGGUCAAGAGAUCUUUAUUGGAGGUAUCGA